rnacentral:misc_RNA from 1 species
UACGAGUGCCCCGAGCGUUAUCCGGAAUCAUUGGGCGUAAAGGGUGCGUAGGUUGUUUUGUUAGUCUCCUGUUAAAUUCUUCGGCUCAACCGGGGGCUUGCAGGGGAAACGGCAAGACUAGAGGAUGUGAGAGGUGUGCGGAACUCAUGGUGUAGGGGUGAAAUCCGUUGAUAUCAUGGGGAACACCAAAGGCGAAGGCAGCACACUGGCACAUUCCUGACGCUGAGGCACGAAAGCGUGGGGAUCGAACGGG